rnacentral:rRNA from 1 species
ACUCAGCCCUUCGGGACUGAGUUUAGUGGCGAACGGGUGAGUAACGCGUGAGGAACCUGCCUUUCAGUGGGGGACAACAGUUGGAAACGACUGCUAAUACCGCAUAAAGCUUUUUGAUGGCAUCAUUGAAAAGCCAAAGAUUUAUCGCUGAAAGAUGAGCUCGCGUCUGAUUAGCUAGUUGGUGAGGUAACGGCCCACCAAGGCGACGAUCAGUAGCCGGACUGAGAGGUUGACCGGCCACAUUGGGACUGAGAUACGGCCCAGACUCC